rnacentral:rRNA from 1 species
GUCGAGCGAGAAGACGUAGCAAUACGUUUGUAAAGCGGCGAACGGGUGAGGAAUACAUGGGUAACCUACCCUCGAGUGGGGAAUAACUAGCCGAAAGGUUAGCUAAUACCGCGUACGCUCCUUGGACUUCGGUUCAGGGAGGAAAGCGAUACCGUGGGUAUCGCGCUCUUGGAUGGGCUCAUGUCCUAUCAGCUUGUUGGUGAGGUAACGGCUCACCAAGGCUUCGACGGGUAGCUGGUCUGAGAGGACGAUCAGCCACACUGGCACUGCGACACGGGCCAGACUCCUACGGGAGGCAGCAGUAAGGAAUAUUGCGCAAUGGGCGAAAGCCUGACGCAGCGACGCCGCGUGGGGGAUGAAGGUCUUCGGAUUGUAAACCCCUUUCGGGAGGGAAGAUGGAAUGGGGUAACCCAUUCGGACGGUACCUCCAGAAGCAGCCACGGCUAACUUCGUGCCAGCAGCCGCGGUAAUACGAAGGUGGCAAGCGUUAUUCGGAUUUACUGGGCGUACAGGGAGCGUAGGCGGUUCGGUAAGCCCUUUGUGAAAUCUCCAGGCUUAACCUGGAAAAGUCGGAGGGGACUGCCGGGCUAGAGGACGGGAGAGGAGCGCGGAAUUCCCGGUGUAGCGGUGAAAUGCGUAGAGAUCGGGAGGAAGGCCGGUGGCGAAGGCGGCGCUCUGGAACGUUUCUGACGCUGAGGCUCGAAAGCGUGGGGAGCAAACAGGAUUAGAUACCCUGGUAGUCCACGCCUUAAACUAUGAAUACUAAGUGUCGGCGGGUUACCGCCGGUGCCGCAGCUAACGCAUUAAGUAUUCCGCCUGGGAAGUACGGCCGCAAGGUCGAAACUCAAAGGAAUUGACGGGGGCCCGCACAAGCGGUGGAGCAUGUGGUUUAUUCGACGCAACGCGAGACCUUUACCCAGGCUGGACAUGCAGUAGUAGAAGGUGAAGCCCACGAGGUAGCAAUACAUCCUGCUCAGUGCUGCAUGCUGUCGUCAGCUCGUGCUGGAAGGUGUUGGGUAAGUCCGGCAC